AUAGUAUGCGGCGUGAAGACCU
rnacentral:miRNA from 1 species